GCCGGGUGUGGUGGCGUGUACCUGUAGUCCCAGCUACUCAGGAGGUUGAGGCAAGAGAAUCGCUUGAACCCAGGAGGCAGAGGUUGCAGUAAGCCAAGAUCGUGCCACUGCACUCCAGCCUGGGUGACAGAGUGAGACUCUGUCUCAAAAAAAUAAAAAUAAACAAGUAAAUACACAAUAUGUUAGAUGGUAUGAGUGCUAUGGAGAAAAAAAAAUUUUUUUUGAAAUGGAGUCUCACUCUGUCGCCCAGGCUGGAGUGCAGUGGCACGAUCUUGGCUUACUGCAACCUCUGCCUCCUGGGUUCAAGCGAUUCUCUUGCCUCAA
rnacentral:SRP_RNA from 1 species